CAUACCAGUUGCUGUGAUAAGUGCUGUAGAUAAAGAAAUAAAAGCAAAGACAUAAAAUUCUAGUCAGAAAAGACAGACGUAUAAUUGGAUGAUACCUAACGCAAACCUGCUUUUUUGAUGAGUGAGCCAGUUGAAGAGAUGACAGCAUGAGCAAAGGCACAGAGGCAAGACAGAGCUUACGUUUUAGGGAACCAGCAAGUGUGAUGGGUUAGGUGGGGUGGACUGCCUAGAGUUGAAGGUAGACAUGCAAGCAGUGUCUAGUUUAUGGAAAGGUUGUGAGUCAACCGUAGUAACACAAAUGAUUUUUGAAGGCUUCGAGGAGUUGCUGAGGGGUUUUAAUGAGGGAAAGGCAAUAUCCAAGGUGAAAAAUGAUGAUGCCUAGGUAAAAGAGGGGUCAUGUGAAGAAGGUGAGGGGAGAGGAAAUAAAAAGACAUUGGGAAGGUAGUAUUGAACGGACUUCAUGACAAAUUGAAUGUGGGAAUAAAAUAAGGGAAGGUAUAGAAGAUGAAUUGAGUUUCUGACUGGAUUAUUUGGGGGACACCUAAAUGGAAACAUCUAAUGGGCAGUUUGUUCUUUAUGUGUGGCGAUCGGAAUGAUUAAGAGUCAUCAUUCUGAGGGAAACAGAACUAUCAUAGAAUCUGCACAAAGUGAGAAGAGAACAAAGGAUGGAACAAAGAGGGUCCCAGUGAUUAAGAGAGAGCUGGGAGAGAAACCCGAAGGAAGAGAGGGGCACAUAUUCCCUUGAAAUUUGGUAAAGCCAUGGGAUUUGCUUUGAUGAAUUAAAUGUUAGAACACUUCUAGGAAGAAGUGUUUAAACGCUGGUAUUUAUUUCUCCAAUGUCAUCUUUCCCUGUCACCAUGAUCUUGGAAGCAUGAGCUUAUAAGACGUGCCAUAAGCUUGAAACAGCUUCUAAUGUUUUCAUUUCAUAGUGCUGCUCUCCAGGUCCUUUAGAAGAAGUCUUUCCUCAGUCCAAGGCACAUGUCUUUCUCCACCUCUUCUGGUUUGAGAAAAUGAUUGGGAAGACAGAUUUUUCUCUACAUUGUAUUGAGGAAAGGGGAGGAAGCAGGAAGGAUUUCAAAUUUUGGAUGCCACAGAGAAAGAUGUACUGCCAACUGUUUUUGUAAGCAAAGAAAGAUAAAGCCCUUCAUGGAAAACUAAUGAAGAAAUUUCCUUUCCAAAUUGUGAGAAAAUGAGCUUCAUAUAUGCCUUCCCUAAGGAAAGAAAAAAGAUGACUUCAUUUAUAUCCUACCUUGUUUGAGAGGAUUAAGACAGCUUUAUGAUGACUUAAAAAGGGUCUUUUCUGUCAUGCCCUUAGUAUUAGAUGUUGAAAGCCAUUUUUUGUCAAUAUUACCAAUGUUCGUUUAUUGCAGCCAGAUGCCAGCUCUGCGGUGAUGGGUAGACUAAAGGAGCUUAUAAAAGUGGAAACCUAAAAUUCCAAGUUACAGAGUUAAAGAAACUGUCCAUGGGAUGGGUGGUGUAGGUUGUUCCAUGAAGAAAACACCAGAUAUUUGUCUUAGUUAAAAAGAUGAGUGGAUAUGUAAAAUGUGGACAACAGAUAAGAGGCAGAGGAGAGAAUAAGGAAGGAGAAAACACUGGAAAAGGACAAGUAUCUUUUAGAGGUGACAAACGGACAUGUCUUAAAGGAAGUCUUCAAAUAAGGAGGUAAGGGGAGAAUUUUGAAAGCAUUGUGCCAGGCUUUGUAAAUGAGCUAUAUUUAAUAUUUUUAGGAAUAUAGCAUGUGGUGGCAAAAGUUUACUCAAUUAAUACAGUCUUUAGGGAAGAUGAAUCCAACUGCAGGAGUCAGGACAACCGCAUCAAGUUAAGAAGAGAAGCAGGCAGAGUAAGGAGGAUGCAGUGGCAGUGAUGACAGUGAAAGGUAAGAGGUCUGACAACCUAUAAGGUUGGCAGGAAAAUCAGACAGGGAGCGAAGAAAUGAAAGGGGCAUUGUGAAUGGCGUCAAAAAGAAAAAGAAACGUGACAGCACUUGGUGAGAAAAUAGAUAUAUCUGAAGAAGCAGGUCUCUCAGAGACUUGAUCUUGUGUGUUUUGCUACCUUGCCUAUUGCCUUCAAGGGCUUCUUACAAAUCAUGUAGGACACUGAGCAUCACCUCUUUGAUAUAGUAAUGAUGAUUUAGAGCGAUAGGCUCCAAGUAACCAUAACAGAAACAACAUCAACAGUAACAACCACCUAAACUAAAUCUUUAUUGAAACAAAUGUCCUGUCGUGCAAGUUUCAUCAUAGUGCUUACACAGAAGAAUUAUGGAAAGACUGAUCUAGUUUUGUUUUGUUUUGUUUUUUUCCACAUGAAGACAGAUACUUCUGGA